CAUGUCUAGCUUGCUAGAUGAUGUCGAGUGGCGGACGGGUGAGUAAUGCUUGGGAACUUGCCUUUGCGAGGGGGAUAACAGUUGGAAACGACUGCUAAUACCGCAUAAUGUCUUCGGACCAAACGGGGCUUCGGCUCCGGCGCAAAGAGAGGCCCAAGUGAGAUUAGCUAGUUGGUGAGGUAAAGGCUCACCAAGGCAACGAUCUCUAGCUGUUCUGAGAGGAAGAUCAGCCACACUGGGACUGAGACACGGCCCAGACUCCUACGGGAGGCAGCAGUGGGGAAUAUUGCACAAUGGGGGAAACCCUGAUGCAGCCAUGCCGCGUGUGUGAAGAAGGCCUUCGGGUUGUAAAGCACUUUCAGUUGUGAGGAAAAGUUAGUAGUUAAUACCUGCUAGCCGUGACGUUAACAACAGAAGAAGCACCGGCUAACUCCGUGCCAGCAGCCGCGGUAAUACGGAGGGUGCGAGCGUUAAUCGGAAUUACUGGGCGUAAAGCGCACGCAGGCGGUUUGUUAAGCUAGAUGUGAAAGCCCCGGGCUCAACCUGGGACGGUCA
rnacentral:rRNA from 1 species